GACGAACCGUGCGAACGUUGUUCGGAUUCACUGGGCUUAAAGGGCGCGUAGGCGGCUUGCCAAGUCAGGGGUGAAAUCUUUCGGCUUAACCGGAAAAGUGCUUCUGAUACUGGCGGGCUGGAGGGAGGUAGGGGCAGACGGAACUUCCGGUGGAGCGGUGAAAUGCGUAGAUAUCGGAAGGAACGCCGGUGGCGAAAGCGGUCUGCUGGACCUCUUCUGACGCUGAGGCGCGAAAGCCAGGGGAGCGAACGGG
rnacentral:rRNA from 1 species